rnacentral:tRNA from 1 species
AGAAAAUUAGUUAAAUUAUAAUAUUAAAUUGUCAAUUUUAAGUUACUUUUGUAUUUUCUU